CCAGGAUGGUCUCGAACUCCUGACCUCAGGCGAUCCACCCACCUCGUUCUCCCAAAGUGCUGGGAUUACAGAUGUGAGCCACUGCGCUCGGCCAGGAAUUGGAAUUUUAGAAAGGUCCCCAGGUGAUUCUAAUGUUGACCAAGGUUCAGACCCUCUGAUAUAGAUGGUGAGUAACUCUUCCAUCACCAGCAGCUUCCAGGAGUGUCUCAUUAGUGCACAACUGCCAAAAGUGACUAUGGGCCAAGUAACUGGUUGGCCAUGUAAGCCAGGUCACGGAAUUGUAGGAAACCUUGACUGAUGGUGAAAGACUGCCUCCUGUCUUUCCCGGGCUGACUCCUGUUCCCCAUGGCACCCUCUUCUGUUUUGAAAGUCGCAAGACCACUGAAGAACCUGCAGCCUUCACUCCCUUGUUACAGCCAGAACGAUACAUCUUUGCAUACAGCAGCUGUGGCCAGUGCUAGGUCUGACUCCUACCCUGCCAGUCCUUUCCUCGUUAAGCAAAAUGGCUUAAAGGACAGAAAACAUGGCACUUUGAGGAAUAACAUAAACAAAUCGUCUGCUCGCUUCCUAGGGGAAGCUCUGAGACCCUACCCACAAUCCUUACCCCAUUGGAGCUAUUUGCUUCAAAGCUUUUCUCUUUAAGAGCAAUGAGGGUCCAACAUAAGCAGAGCACUUAGGGAAAUUUGGCAAACCCUGAAUUUCUGGGAGGAAGAAACAGAGGGGUACCCUCAGGAAGGAGGAGGAUUGUGGGAGUGUCUGUCUUCACAAGCUCUUGACAAAUAGUACAAGUGACUAGGGAUUUCUCCUAGCACAUUAGAGCAGGCAGGACAGACGGGAGGACCCACCCCUUAUGCUCCCAGCCAACCUCCCUGCAGCAGAACCUACAACCUCCUUCUUCCCCUUUCUGGAUAAGAUUUGUUUCUGAGGCUGGAGUCAGUGCCUUCAAACCACAGCCAGAGGUAACCUUGCUAAUUAUGCCCCUUUCCUUGAUCUUUUUUUGAAAUGAAAUGGUUCUGUUACCAGUAGAGGGUCUUGACACAAAUUUUCCAGGUUCUUGGCGUUUUGAACAAAGAACUGGACAAAAUGCACAGCAAAGCAAGGUAAGAAUGAAGCAACAAAAGCAGAGAUUUAUUGAAAAUACAUGCCACAGUGUGGGAGCCGGCCAAGCAGCAGCUUAAGGGCCUGGAUGUAGAAUCUUCUUGGAUCCUAACACUCCCUAUAGGUUUCCCAUUGGCCACUUUGUGUUCACUCCACAUAAAUUAAGUGGAGGCCCACAAAAGUGAAGUUACAAAGUUUCACUUCAGUGGUUGCUUUUUGCAACCAAUCAGAGGUACUUUCAAUUUACCAUCUGCCCGUCAGAAAGGGUGGGCAUUGGCAAAGGGAGUAGCCUCUGAUCCUUUUGUUACUUAUGUGUGGAAAAGUUGGGGUUUUUCUUUUGAUUUAGUUCUAGGAAGUCAGGGUGAAUUGGCUUUCAGUUCCCUGCCUCCAGACCCUAUUCUGCCUCAGUUCAAAUACACAAAACCUAACAAAUACCUAUAUGACCACCAUCCACAACUAAUCAAUGGCAGUGUCUAUUUGUUUGACUUUUUUUCCUAUUUUACAAGAAGCAAAAGCACCUCUGGACUCUCCACCAGACAGCUAUGUGCAGCCACUCCAGCAUGGUGUUCUCAGGGUAACUAGACUUCUUACACCGGCUCCACGUGCAAGUUCUCCUAGCAAACAAGAUAGAGAUUUCAAGGCCUUUUAUGACCUCACCCUGGAGGCCACACCACAUCUGUAUUUCAUUGUAUUUCAUUAUAUUUCAUUGGUAGCAGUCACAAGCUGCCCAGAUACAAGGCAGAGGGACAGACGCCCCACUUCUUGAUGGGAUGAGUGGCAAAAAACAUCUGUGACCAUGUUUAAAACCCAGAUUUGGCUGUUACAGGAGUCUUAAAAAAAUGUGUGGCUACUGAAACUGUGCCCCAAAGAGUUAAAGAAAUGAGUAACUAACAGAAAUUCUUGAGUCUGCAGGAUGGCAGAUGAGAAACAACUUGCUGGCCAGGUGCAGUGGCUUACGCCUGUAAUCCCAGCACUUCGGGAGGCUGAGAAGAACAACAAGCAGAAAUCUGUUGGAGCCAAUAAGGCUGACUGGAGUCUGCACAGAACGAGCUUGCUGACAGCACAGCCUGAAUUUUCACCACAGGUUUCAUGCUGUUCCUGAAUUCGCAC